AACCCAGUGUGACUCGUCACACUAUCAUUAACUGAAUCCAUAGGUUAAUGAGGCGAACCGGGGGAACUGAAACAUCUAAGUACCCCGAGGAAAAGAAAUCAACCGAGAUUCCCCCAGUAGCGGCGAGCGAACGGGGAGGAGCCCAGAGCCUGAAUCAGCAUGUGUGUUAGUGGAAGCGUCUGGAAAGGCGCGCGAUACAGGGUGACAGCCCCGUACACAAAAGCGCAUGUGCUGUGAGCUCGAUGAGUAGGGCGGGACACGUGGUAUCCUGUCUGAAUAUGGGGGGACCAUCCUCCAAGGCUAAAUACUCCUGACUGACCGAUAGUGAACCAGUACCGUGAGGGAAAGGCGAAAAGAACCCCGGCGAGGGGAGUGAAAAAGAACCUGAAACCGUGUACGUACAAGCAGUGGGAGCCCCACCACCAAAGCAUUUGCUGUACCGCGUUGACGGAGCGAAGCGACGUCAAACCGAUACCGCAGGGCGCUUUGCGCGACAGCGCAAAGGCAGGCGGUUUCGCGUAGCGAAAGCGAAUGCUUUGGGGUGGGGUGACUGCGUACCUUUUGUAUAAUGGGUCAGCGACUUAUAUUCUGUAGCAAGGUUAACCGAAUAGGGGAGCCGGAGGGAAACCGAGUCUUAAUUGGGCGUUAAGUUGCAGGGUAUAGACCCGAAACCCGGUGAUCUAGCCAUGGGCAGGUUGAAGGUUGGGUAACACUAACUGGAGGACCGAACCGACUAAUGUUGAAAAAUUAGCGGAUGACCUGUGGCUGGGGGUGAAAGGCCAAUCAAACCGGGAGAUAGCUGGUUCUCCCCGAAAGCUAUUUAGGUAGCGCCUCGUGAAUUCAUCUCCGGGGGUAGAGCACUGUUUCGGCUAGGGGGCCAUCCCGGCUUACCAACCCGAUGCAAACUGCGAAUACCGGAGAAUGUUAUCACGGGAGACACACGGCGGGUGCUAACGUCCGUCGUGAAGAGGGAAACAACCCAGACCGCCAGCUAAGGUCCCAAAGUCAUGGUUAAGUGGGAAACGAUGUGGGAAGGCCCAGACAGCCAGGAUGUUGGCUUAGAAGCAGCCAUCAUUUAAAGAAAGCGUAAUAGCUCACUGGUCGAGUCGGCCUGCGCGGAAGAUGUAACGGGGCUAAACCAUGCACCGAAGCUGCGGCAGCGACACUGUGUGUUGUUGGGUAGGGGAGCGUUCUGUAAGCCUGUGAAGGUGUGUCGUGAGGCAUGCUGGAGGUAUCAGAAGUGCGAAUGCUGACAUAAGUAACGAUAAAGCGGGUGAAAAGCCCGCUCGCCGGAAGACCAAGGGUUCCUGUCCAACGUUAAUCGGGGCAGGGUGAGUCGACCCCUAAGGCGAGGCCGAAAGGCGUAGUCGAUGGGAAACGGGUUAAUAUUCCCGUACUUGGUGUUACUGCGAAGGGGGGACGGAGAAGGCUAUGUUGGCCGGGCGACGGUUGUCCCGGUUUAAGCGUGUAGGUGUGUGUUCCAGGUAAAUCCGGUUCACUUUAACACUGAGGCGUGACGACGAGGCACUACGGUGCUGAAGCAACAAAUGCCCUGCUUCCAGGAAAAGCCUCUAAGCAUCAGGUAACAUCAAAUCGUACCCCAAACCGACACAGGUGGUCAGGUAGAGAAUACCAAGGCGCUUGAGAGAACUCGGGUGAAGGAACUAGGCAAAAUGGUGCCGUAACUUCGGGAGAAGGCACGCUGACACGUAGGUGAAGUGAUUUACUCAUGGAGCUGAAGUCAGUCGAAGAUACCAGCUGGCUGCAACUGUUUAUUAAAAACACAGCACUGUGCAAACACGAAAGUGGACGUAUACGGUGUGACGCCUGCCCGGUGCCGGAAGGUUAAUUGAUGGGGUCAGCGCAAGCGAAGCUCCUGAUCGAAGCCCCGGUAAACGGCGGCCGUAACUAUAACGGUCCUAAGGUAGCGAAAUUCCUUGUCGGGUAAGUUCCGACCUGCACGAAUGGCGUAAUGAUGGCCAGGCUGUCUCCACCCGAGACUCAGUGAAAUUGAACUCGCUGUGAAGAUGCAGUGUACCCGCGGCAAGACGGAAAGACCCCGUGAACCUUUACUAUAGCUUGACACUGAACAUUGAGCCUUGAUGUGUAGGAUAGGUGGGAGGCUUUGAAGUGUGGACGCCAGUCUGCAUGGAGCCGACCUUGAAAUACCACCCUUUAAUGUUUGAUGUUCUAACGUGGACCCGUUACCCGGGUUGCGGACAGUGUCUGGUGGGUAGUUUGACUGGGGCGGUCUCCUCC
rnacentral:rRNA from 1 species